rnacentral:piRNA from 1 species
UNCUCAGCAGACUUCUGAGCUCUGGUUACC